rnacentral:rRNA from 1 species
GAUGAACGCUGGCGGCGUGCUUAACACAUGCAAGUCGAACGGAAAGGCCCAAGCUUGCUUGGGUACUCGAGUGGCGAACGGGUGAGUAACACGUGGGUGAUCUGCCCUGCACUUCGGGAUAAGCCUGGGAAACUGGGUCUAAUACCGGAUAGGACCACUUCUUGGAUGUUGUGGUGGAAAGUUUUUUCGGUGUGGGAUGAGCUCGCGGCCUAUCAGCUUGUUGGUGGGGUAAUGGCCUACCAAGGCGUCGACGGGUAGCCGGCCUGAGAGGGUGUACGGCCACAUUGGGACUGAGAUACGGCCCAGACUCCGACGGGAGGCAGCAGUGGGGAAUAUUGCACAAUGGGCGCAAGCCUGAUGCAGCGACGCCGCGGGGGGGAUGACGGCCUUCGGGUUGUAAACUCCUUUCGCUAGGGACGAAGCGUUUUGUGACGGCACCUGGAGAAGAAGCACCGGCUAACUACGUG